rnacentral:rRNA from 1 species
UCAAUAUAAAUUGAUUUUAAUAUUUGUUUAUUAAUUUUUUUUUAUUGUUUUUAAAGUUUUAAAAAUAAUUUUAUAAAGAAUUGUUUUAGUAAUUUUUAGUGAAAAAAUAUUUUUAAUAAUAGUUUAUUAGUAUCGUGAGAGAAUACUGAAAUAAUUUGAAAAAUUUUUAUUUUAUAAGAAGAUUUAAUUUAUCGUACCUUGUGUAUCAGGGUUUAUCAAUUAAAUAAUAAUUAUAUAUUUUUCUCGAUUUCGUAAGAGUUAAUAAUUUAUUAAAGUUAAUGUGUCAAAAUUAUUUUAAAUAAAUUGUUGGAAAUGAAAUGUUAUUCGUUUACGAAGGUAUCUAGUUUUUUUAGAAAUAAAUUUAAUUUAUUGGUUUUAAAUCUUUUGUUUACUUGUUUAGUGAAAAGAUUUUUUAACUAAAAUUUUCUAAGGGAUAAGCUUUAGAAAAAAAUAUUAAAAGAUAAAGAUUUAUUUAUAUAGAUGUAUGUAUAGAAUUUGCAAUCAUUUAUAAGUUUGUUAUAAAUUAUUUUGUUUAAAUUAUUAUUUAUUUUUCUUUAAGUUUUUAUAAAAAUUUUAGUUUUAAUUUUUAAAAUUAAUUAAUAAUGAUUGAAUUAGUAUAUUUAUUGUUUAGAUAAUUUAUUUUGGAAAGUUUAUGUAAAGAAUUCGGCAAAUUUUUAUGCCCGCCUGUUUAACAAAAACAUGUCUUUUUGGAUUUUAUAAAAAGUCUGGCCUGCCCAAUGAAUAAUUUUGAAUGGCCGCAGUAUACUAACUGUGCAAAGGUAGCAUAAUCAUUAGUCUUUUAAUUGAAGGCUGGUAUGAAUGGUUGGACGAGGUAUAAGCUGUUUCAUAUAAAUUUGUGAUAGAAUUUUAUUUUUUAGUCAAAAAGCUAAAAUUAAUUUAAAAGACGAGAAGACCCUAUAAAUCUUUAUAUUUUCCUUUAUUUAAAUUGUAUAGAUUUUUUUUGUUUUUAUUUUGGUAAGUAUUUUAUUGGGGUGAUAUUAAAAUUUAAUAAACUUUUAAUUUUUGGAAAACAUUAAUUUAUGAAUAAUUGAUCCAUUAGUAGUGAUUAUAAGUUUAAGUUACUUUAGGGAUAACAGCGUAAUUUUUUUGGAGAGUUCAUAUCGAUAAAAAAGAUUGCGACCUCGAUGUUGGAUUAAGAUAUAAUUUUAGGUGUAGCCGCUUAAAUUUCAAGUCUGUUCGACUUUUAAAUUCUUACAUGAUCUGAGUUCAAACCGGUG